AUACGUAGGGGGCGAGCGUUGUCCGGAAUGAUUGGGCGUAAAGGGCGCGUAGGCGGCCCGGUAAGUCUGGAGUGAAAGUCCUGUUUUUAAGAUGGGAAUUGCUUUGGAUACUGUCGGGCUUGAGUGCAGGAGAGGUAAGUGGAAUUCCCAGUGUAGCGGUGAAAUGCGUAGAGAUUGGGAGGAACACCAGUGGCGAAGGCUACUGACUGGACUGUAACUGACGCUGAGGCGCGAAAGUGUGGGGAGCAAACAGGAUUAGAUACCCUGGUAGUCCACACUGUAAACGAUGAAUGCUGGGUGUAGGGUGUAUCGACCCCUUCUGUGCCGCAGUCAACACAAUAAGCAUGCCGCCUGGGGAGUACGGCCGCAAGGUUGAAACUCAAAUGAAUUGGCGGGG
rnacentral:rRNA from 1 species